CGCUAACCUACCCUCGGGUGGGGGAUAACCUCGGGAAACUGAGGCUAAUCCCCCAUAGGGGAGGAGGUGUGGAAUGAUCCCUCCCCGAAAGGCGUAAGCUGCCCGAAUGGGGCUGCGGCGGAUUAGGUACUUGGUGGGGUAACGGCCCACCAAGCCUACGAUCCGUACGGGCCCUGACAGGGGGAGCCCGGACAUGGACACUGAGACACGGGUCCAGGCCCUACGGGGCGCAGCAGGCGCGAAACCUCCGCAAUGCGCGAAAGCGCGAGGGGGGGACCCCGACUGCCCACGCCCUGCGUGGGCUUUUCCGGAGUGUAAACAGCUCCGGGAAUAAGGGCUGGGCAAGUCCGGUGCCAGGAGCCGCGGUAAUACCGGCGGCCCAACUGGUGGCCACUGUUAUUGGGCCUAAAGCGUCCGUAGCCGGCCCGUAAGUCUGUGCUUAAAUCCUGCGGCUCAACCGCAGGGCUGCAGAGAUACUGCCAUGGACCGGGAGAGGCCGGGGUACCCCAGGGGUAGCGGUGAAAUGCGUUCAUCCCUGGGGGACCUCCUGUGGCGAAGGCGCCCGGCUGGAACGGGUCCGACGGUGAGGGACGAAGGCCAGGGGAGCAAACCGGAUUACAUACCCGGGUAGUCCUGGCUGUAAACUCUGCGGAGUAGGUGUCGCGUCGGCUUCGGGCCGACGCGGUGCCGAAGGGAAGCCGUUAAGUCCGCCGCCUGGGGAGUACGGUCGCAAGAGUGAAACUUAAAGGAAUUGGCGGGGGAGCACUACAACGGGUGGACCGCGGUUUAAUUCGAUUCAACGCCGGGCAUCUUACCAGGGGCGAGGGCAGGAUGAAGGCCAGGUUGACGACCUUGCCAGACGCGCCGACAGGUGGUGCAUGGCCGUCGUCAGCUCGUACCGUGAGGCGUCCUGUUAAGUGAGGUAACGAGCGAGACCCGUGCCCCAUGUA
rnacentral:rRNA from 1 species